UACGUAGGGCGCAAGCGUUGUCCGGAAUUAUUGGGCGUAAAGAGCUCGUAGGCGGUUUGUCGCGUCUGCCGUGAAAGCCCGGGGCUUAACUCCGGGUCUGCGGUGGGAUACGGGCAGACUAGAGGCAGGUAGGGGAGAACGGAAUUCCCGGUGUAGCGGUGAAAUGCGCAGAUAUCGGGAGGAACACCGGUGGCGAAGGCGGUUCUCUGGGGCCUGACCUGACGCUGAGGAGCGAAAGCGUGGGGAGCGAACAGG
rnacentral:rRNA from 1 species